CAGGCAGAAAAUCAGUACCUAGGACUGAACUGCAAGUAACUAUCAAAGGGGAGCCUGUUAAAUUCUGAGAAUGAGGGACAUUUGGUUUGCCACAGAAACUGAAAGUCUGAAAUUCCUGACUGUUGAUCUGGAAGAUGUGGGUUAUGAGAGGUAUUGGAUGUUUGAAAAUUAUCUGUAGAUUGCAUCUUUAACAAUGACUUCAAGAAACUGAGAAGAGGUGAAUUGUCCCCAAACAAGCCAAUAGUCCGUACUCUUCUGCUACCGAUUGAAGUAAUGUGUAAUUGCGCGUAAGGUUUAUAUUGGUCUCAAUUCAAUAUGGUUCAUAACAUUAAGAUAUCAGCAACUCUCAUUUUGUAAGAUCAUUACUAAUCCAGCUGAGUUCUAUUAUUAUAUUUUAUUAGUUUAGCAGAUCUUUUCCUGAGCUCUGCAGUGUUGUUUUUUU
rnacentral:lncRNA from 1 species